rnacentral:tRNA from 1 species
GUGGCUGUGGCUCAGGGCAGAGCGCUUGCCUGGCAAGUGGGAGGCACUGGGUUUGAGCCUCAGCACCACG